UUGUAUGCACUCUUCAUUAAAUUUAAAAUAUUCAUCAUGCACAAAUGUAUUGUUCAUUCUCCAUUAUUGAAAUGUGCAUCAUCAAAUAUGCAUUUUGGUUAAAAUAUGUAUUAGUUAAAUAUUAAAUGUUCAUCAUAAUAAAAGAAGUACAUCAAAUAUGCAUAUGAUGCUCAUGUAUAAUAAUUAUAAGGUAAAGGUUAAAAAACUUGUCAUAUGGUUUGGUGCUUUUACACUUAAGAACUAAAGUGUGCUUGUAUCAAAUGAGGACUACACAUU
rnacentral:lncRNA from 1 species